rnacentral:piRNA from 1 species
UAGCAGCCUACCUGGUGCUUGUACAAUGGU